UAACAGUUGGAAACGACUGCUAAUACCGCAUAAGCGCACAGGAUCGCAUGAUCCGGUGUGAAAAACUCCGGUGGUAUGAGAUGGACCCGCGUCUGAUUAGCCAGUUGGCAGGGUAACGGCCUACCAAAGCGACGAUCAGUAGCCGACCUGAGAGGGUGUCCGGCCACAUUGGGACUGAGACACGGCCCAAACUCCUACGGGAGGCAGCAGUGGGGAAUAUUGCACAAUGGGGGAAACCCUGAUGCAGCGACGCCGCGUGAGCGAAGAAGUAUUUCGGUAUGUAAAGCUCUAUCAGCAGGGAAGAAGAAUGACGGUACCUGACUAAGAAGCACCGGCUAAAUACGUGCCAGCAGCCGCGGUAAUACGUAUGGUGCAAGCGUUAUCCGGAUUUACUGGGUGUAAAGGGAGCGCAGGCGGUGCGGCAAGUCUGAUGUGAAAGCCCGGGGCUCAACCCCGGUACUGCAUUGGAAACUGUCGUACUAGAGUGUCGGAGGGGUAAGUGGAAUUCCUAGUGUAGCGGUGAAAUGCGUAGAUAUUAGGAGGAACACCAGUGGCGAAGGCGGCUUACUGGACGAUAACUGACGCUGAGGCUCGAAAGCGUGGGGAGCAAACAGGAUUAGAUACCCUGGUAGUCCACGCCGU
rnacentral:rRNA from 1 species